UGGGGAAUAUUGCACAAUGGGCGCAAGCCUGAUGCAGCCAUGCCGCGUGUAUGAAGAAGGCCUUCGGGUUGUAAAGCACUUUCAGCGGGGAGGAAGGCGUUAAGGUUAAUAACCUUGGCGAUUGACGUUACCCGCAGAAGAAGCACCGGCUAACUCCGUGCCAGCAGCCGCGGUAAUACGGAGGGUGCAAGCGUUAAUCGGAAUUACUGGGCGUAAAGCGCACGCAGGCGGUUUCUUAAGUCUGAUGUGAAAGCCCCCGGCUCAACCGGGGAGGGUCAUUGGAAACUGGGAGACUUGAGUGCAGAAGAGGAGAGUGGAAUUCCAUGUGUAGCGGUGAAAUGCGUAGAUAUAUGGAGGAACACCAGUGGCGAAGGCGGCUCUCUGGUCUGUAACUGACGCUGAGGCUCGAAAGCGUGGGGAGCAAACAGG
rnacentral:rRNA from 1 species